rnacentral:rRNA from 1 species
AUACGUAGGGGGCGAGCGUUGUCCGGAUUUACUGGGCGUAAAGGGUGAGUAGGCGGUUAUAUAUGUCAGGUGUAAAAGGCUAUGGCUUAACUAUAGUAAGCACUUGAAACUGUAUGACUUGAGUGCAGGAGAGGUAAGUGGAAUUCCUAGUGUAGCGGUGAAAUGCGUAGCUAUCAGGAGGAACACCAGAGGCGAAGGCGGUCUUCUAUACCAUUACUGACGCUGAAUUGCGAAGGUGUGGGUAUCAAACAGGAUUAGAUACCCUGGUAGUCCACACAGUAAACGAUGUGCACUAGAUGUUGGGAGUUAUACACUUUCAGUGUCGCAGCAAACGCGUUAAGUGCAUCGCCUGGGGAGUACGAUCGCAAGGUUAAA